rnacentral:rRNA from 1 species
AGGGUUUGAUCCUGGCUCAGAACGAACGCUGGCGGCGUGGCUAAGGCAUGCAAGUCGUACGGGCCGUGUGGAAGGUAACGGAAGCACGGUUAGUGGCGGACGGGUGAGUAAUGCAUGGGUAACGUACCUUGUGCACAGGGAUAGCGGCGCCCUUCGGGGCUUUAGCGAAAGUGCCGGUAAUACCUGAUGACGUCCAAAGGUCGCAUGGCCUUCGGAUCAAAGGUGGGGACCCUUCGGGGCCUGCUGGCACGAGAUCGACCCAUGUCCUAUCAGCUUGUUGGUGGGGUAACGGCCUACCAAGGCGAUGACGGGUAGUCGGCGUGAGAGCGCGACCGGCCACAUCGGGACUGAGACACUGCCCGGACACCUACGGGUGGCUGCAGCAACGAAUAUUGGACAAUGGACGAAAGUCUGAUCCAGCGACGCCGCGUGAAGGAUGAAGUCCCUCGGGAUGUAAACUUCAAUAGUUUGUCAGGAAGCAAGCCGGCCGAAUAAGCCGGGGCGCUGACCAGCAAACGAAAGGGGUGGCUAACUCCGUGCCAGCAGCCGCGGUAACACGGGGACCCCUAGCGUUGUUCGGAAUUACUGGGCUUAAAGCGGGUGUAGGCGGAGCGGCAAGUACUGUGUGAAAGCCCCGGGCUCAACCCGGGAAUGGCUUGGUAUACUGUCGCUCUUGAGGCAGGUAGGGGUCACUGGAACCUUAGGUGGAGCGGUGAAAUGCGUAGAUAUCUAAGGGAACGCCUGUGGCGAAAGCGGGUGACUGGGCCUGUUCUGACGCUGAGACCCGAAAGCGUAGGGAGCGAACGGGAUUAGAUACCCCGGUAGUCUACGCCGUAACGAUGCGCACUAGGUUCGAGAGUCUCUGACGGCUUUCGUGCCGGAACAAAAGCGAUAAGUGCGCCGCCUGGGGAGUACGGCCGCAAGGCUAAAACUCAAAGGAAUUGACGGGUUCCCCGCACAAGCAGCGGAGCGUGUGGUUUAAUUCGAUGCAACGCGAGACCUUACCAGGCUUGACAUG